UACGGAGGGGGCUAGCGUUGUUCGGAAUUACUGGGCGUAAAGCGCACGUAGGCGGCUUUGCAAGUUAGAGGUGAAAGCCCCGGGGCUCAACCCCGGAAUUGCCUUUAAAACUGCAUCGCUAGAAUUGUGGAGAGGUAAGUGGAAUUCCGAGUGUAGAGGUGAAAUUCGUAGAUAUUCGGAAGAACACCAGUGGCGAAGGCGACUUACUGGACACAUAUUGACGCUGAGGUGCGAAAGCGUGGGGAGCAAACAGG
rnacentral:rRNA from 1 species